UACGAAGGGGGCUAGCGUUGCUCGGAAUGACUGGGCGUAAAGGGCGCGUAGGCGGAUGGCACAGUCAGAUGUGAAAUUCCCCGGGCUUAACCUGGGGGCUGCAUUUGAUACGUGUGAUCUAGAGUGAGGAAGAGGGUCGUGGAAUUCCCAGUGUAGAGGUGAAAUUCGUAGAUAUUGGGAAGAACACCGGUGGCGAAGGCGGCGACCUGGUCCUUGACUGACGCUGAGGCGCGAAAGCGUGGGGAGCAAACAGG
rnacentral:rRNA from 1 species